rnacentral:lncRNA from 1 species
UACGAGGCCGAGGGAGGAAUUCUGUCGUCUGGGAACGGCUGGUUUCGCGGUCAGACGCCGAGGGCCCUCGAAGUCCCUAGCAACGGCUGCGGAGGGAGAUGUAAGUCGUUUUGGACGCAGGCUCAGUGUUUGGUCCCAGCGUUCGGUGGAGUCCGGAGAGACUCAGGAUCAGAUGAGUCGGGGUCUGGAUGUGGCUCCAAGUGAAAGGCCUGUGGGGUCCACCUAGGUCCGUGCAGGUUACAAAUGGCAACCAGAACAGGGACUCCAAGCACGCCCAACUAGCAGCAUCCAAACAUGGGACUUCAAGGACGUGAAUGAAGAAGGUCUGCUGGAGCAGAGGAACUGAAAUUGACAAGGCGAAAGGGGACCCUGGGAAGAGUCUGCCGGCAGCAGAUAUAAGUCUGUAAAAUCGGAUGGACCACCAAUUGGAGAAUGAGAGCCUCCCAGCCCAGCCUUACAUUCUUUCAAUUAAUACAUAAACAGAAAGGGGGAUAUGCAGGGAGCCAAAGGCCUGUGGGACGUGACCAACUCAGCAUUCUGCUGGAGGCUAUAUGAUCAAACAGCAAACUGUUUAUCAUGAAUACAGGAUGUGAGCAAACUCAGGACUGCUCCUGCCAACAUAAGGUUUGCUGGAGGCAAUCACUCCCUGGCACCGAGGUUAUCUACUGCGACAUCUAGAGAAUGCAGUCUUGCAAGCCUACUCUGAACUGAGCAGCCGACCCCUUCUUCCACCCCCCCACCCUCCUAUCUCUUUUGCCUAAUAAAUACGGAGGGCUGUGUAAAGCUCAGGGCCCUUGUCCACUAGAGGUAAGGUGCUCCCUGACCCCUUCUCCCAAAUAUACUCUUUUGUCUCCUGUCUUUAUUCCCACGUUCACCCCCAUUUGUGCAGUCCCAUGGGUCCAUGUGGGUUACGGCCCGCCACCGCGCCUGGCUGAUUUUUGUAUUUUUAGUAGAGAUCGGAUUUCAGCAUCUUGGUCAGGCUGGCCUUCAACUCCGGAUCUCAUCACACACCCGCCUCAGCCUCCCCACAUGCGGUUAUUAUAGUUGAUAUGUCUGAACCAAAAUGAUAUGGGAAGCUUGAGAAUAAAAGGUUGGAGACAAUAUGCCACAGAGAGAGUAACCAAAGAUAAUCUGUUAUAACUAUAUCUCAGACAAAACUGACCAGAAAUCCUAAAGAAUUAACAGAGAGAAAGAGAAACAAUGCUCACUGAAAAGAGGUGAAAUUUGGCUCUUCAUUCAUAGAAAUACACCAUAUGUAUACCCCUAACAACAGUCUUGAAAUGUAUACAGCAAAAAAUAGAACCAAAAACAAGAAAUAGAAAAUUCAGACUAAAGACUUUAACAGACCUUUC